GUAGUACUCCCUCCGUCCCAAAAUUCUUGUCUUAGAUUUGUCUAAAAUUCGUAUUUAGACAAAUCUAAGACAAGAAUUUUGGGAUGGAGAGAGUAAAAG
rfam:Triticum aestivum genome assembly, contig: Triticum_aestivum_CS42_TGACv1_scaffold_251327_3DL